rnacentral:lncRNA from 1 species
CCACCUUCGUUAUCUCCGGCUUCCUGACAGUCGUUGAUCCUUUUCAGAAACUUGCCUCCCAGUUCCACUAAACCCCGUUCCAAGUACCCUAAACGGUUGCUUGCGUGGACAUCCAUGUCCUUCCACUCAUUGAUUAUCUUCUCUUGGGCCUCCAAUAUUUGCCGAUGAUCAUUUUCACACUCUCGUAUCCGUUUGCGUAGCUGAUUGUACUUGACCUUUGCUGCUAUCUUCU